ACCGGAAGGAGGGCUGGAGCGGAUACUAGUGAAGAUCCAUGGCAUAAGUAACGAUAAAGGGAGUGAAAAUCUCCCUCGCCGUAAGCCCAAGGUUUCCAGGGUCAAGCUCGUCUUCCCUGGGUUAGUCGGCCCCUAAGUUGAGGCGUAACUGCGUAGACGAUGGAGCAGCAGGUUAAAUAUUCCUGCACCACCUAAAACUAUAGCGAAGGAAUGACGGAGUAAGUUAAGCACGCGGACGAUUGGAAGAGUCCGUAGAGCGAUGAGAACGGUUAGUAGGCAAAUCCGCUAACAUAAGAUCAGGUCGCGAUCAAGGGGAAUCUUCGGAGGAACCGAUGGUGUGGAGCGAGGCUUUCAAGAAAUAAUUUCUAGCUGUUGAUGGUGACCGUACCAAAACCGACACAGGUGGGCGAGAUGAAUAUUCUAAGGCGCGCGAGAUAACUUUCGUUAAGGAACUCGGCAAAUUAUCCCCGUAACUUCGGAAUAAGGGGAGCCUUUUAGGGUGACUAUGGAACGAUAGGAGCCCCGGGGGGCCGCAGAGAAAUGGCCCAGGCGACUGUUUAGCAAAAACACAGCACUAUGCAAACCUCUAAGGGGAAGUAUAUGGUGUGACGCCUGCCCAAUGCCAAAAGGUUAAAGGGAUAUGUCAGCUGCAAAGCGAAGCAUUGAACCUAAGCCCUGGUGAAUGGCCGCCGUAACUAUAACGGUGCUAAGGUAGCGAAAUUCCUUGUCGGGUAAGUUCCGACCUGCACGAAUGGUGUAACGAUCUGGGCACUGUCUCAACGAAAGACUCGGUGAAAUUGUAGUAGCAGUGAAGAUGCUGUUUACCCGCGAAAGGACGAAAAGACCCCGUGAACCUUUACUGUACUUUGGUAUUGAUUUUUGGUUUGUUAUGUGUAGGAUAGCCAGGAGACUAGGAACACUCUUCUUCAGGAGAGUGGGAGUCAACGUUGAAAUACUGGUCUUAACAAGCUGGGAAUCUAACAUUAUUCCAUGAAUCUGGAAGAUGGACAUUGCCAGACGGGCAGUUUUACUGGGGCGGUAUCCUCCUAAAAAGUAACGGAGGAGCCCAAAGCUUAUUUCAUCGUGGUUGGCAAUCACGAGUAGAGCGUAAAGGUAUAAGAUAGGUUGACUGCAAGACCAACAAGUCGAGCAGAGACGAAAGUCGGGCUUAGUGAUCCGGCGGUGGAAAGUGGAAUCGCCGUCGCUUAACGGAUAAAAGGUACUCCGGGGAUAACAGGCUGAUCGCCACCAAGAGUUCAUAUCGACGUGGCGGUUUGGCACCUCGAUGUCGGCUCAUCGCAUCCUGGGGCUGGAGAAGGUCCCAAGGGUUUGGCUGUUCGCCAAUUAAAGCGGUACGCGAGCUGGGUUCAAAACGUCGUGAGACAGUUUGGUCUCUAUCCUUCGUGGGCGCAGGAUACUUGAGAGGAGCUGUUCCUAGUACGAGAGGACCGGAAUGGACGAACCAAUGGUGUGUCGGUUGUUUUGCCAAGAGCAUAGCCGAGUAGCUACGUUCGGAAAGGAUAAGCAUUGAAAGCAUCUAAAUGCCAAGCCUCCCUCAAGAUAAGGUAUCCCAAUGAGACUCCAUGUAGACUACGUGGUUGAUAGGUUGGAGGUGUAAGCACAGUAAUGUGUUCAGCUAACCAAUACUAAUAAGUCCAAAGACUUGGUCUU
rnacentral:rRNA from 1 species